UUUCCCCCAAAACUCGAAGAUCUAUUCUCUUCUCCACAAGAAAAUAAAAUAAAAUAAAUAGAGGGAUAUUUUCUCUUUUUAGAUUAUCCAAGUCUUCACUAUUAGCCAUCAAAGGAUGUAAAAGAUAUUGGAGGAUUGUUGAGCGCAAAAGAAGCUUGAAGUUGCAAGCCAUAGGUUUGAUUCAGAUAUGCCUCAAAUGGCAAGCCAUAGGAGCAAUUAUAUAGUUUAAGCAAGAAGAAUCGCUCUCAAAGAUGUAACGUCGUAGCAACGUAGAGAAAUUCAAGUUCCAAGAUGAUGUUUCUUGCCUCAUGGAUAUUAUAAUUUUUGAGAGAGCUAUCUCCAAUGCUUCUGAUGUAUGAAAAAUUUACUAAACCGUUUAUUACACGCAUUGGAUAAGAUUAGGUUCCUUUUACGCACAAAUAAGGAGAUUUUCGUUGAAGGUGCACAAAGCUUAAGAUCCUGACAUGCAGGCAGCGGUGAAGGAGUCCGCAACCACCAAAUCCUCUCUUGACCCUCCUAUAGCUGAAGCUAAAGUGAAUAUCUGUGGGGUUCAUUGUGCCCAAGGAUGCCCAAAUGAUGGUGAAUGCAUGGGCUAUUGAGGGAGAUACCACCACAUGCCUAAAGGAAGUUGUGUUUAUGAUGCCUGAAGGAAGUUAUUUUGGUUCUGAGAAGAUUGGUGAUAUCUGUGAAGGUUUUUGUUGUCAAUAUUGUUCUCCUUAUUUUUAUAAUAAAAUUUAUA